GGCAAGAUGGCCGAGCGGUCUAAGGCGCUAGCUUAAGGAACCCAGCCUUGAAAGAGGCCCUGUAUCUGAAAUCGCUAGUGUGGCAACACGCGUGGGUUCGAAUCCCACUCUUGUCA
rnacentral:tRNA from 1 species